GCCAUAAUACAUGCAAGUCGAGCGGACAGAGAGCUUGCUCCCGGAUGUUAGCGGCGGACGGGUGAGUAACACGUGGGUAACCUGCCUGUAAGACUGGGAUAACUCCGGGAAACCGGAGCUAAUACCGGAUAGUUCCUUGAACCGCAUGGUUCAAGGAUGAAAGACGGUUUCGGCUGUCACUUACAGAUGGACCCGCGGCGCAUUAGCUAGUUGGUGGGGUAAUGGCUCACCAAGGCGACGAUGCGUAGCCGACCUGAGAGGGUGAUCGGCCACACUGGGACUGAGACACGGCCCAGACUCCUACGGGAGGCAGCAGUAGGGAAUCUUCCGCAAUGGACGAAAGUCUGACGGAGCAACGCCGCGUGAGUGAUGAAGGUUUUCGGAUCGUAAAGCUCUGUUGUUAGGGAAGAACAAGUGCGAGAGUAACUGCUCGCACCUUGACGGUACCUAACCAGAAAGCCACGGCUAACUACGUGCCAGCAGCCGCGGUAAUACGUAGGUGGCAAGCGUUGUCCGGAAUUAUUGGGCGUAAAGGGCUCGCAGGCGGUUCUUAAGUCUGAUGUGAAAGCCCCGGCUCAACCGGGAGGUCAUGAAACUGGGAACUGAUGCAGAGAGGAGUGAUCMUGUACGUGAUG
rnacentral:rRNA from 1 species